UUAAAUUGAAGAGUUUGAUCAUGGCUCAGAUUGAACGCUGGCGGCAGGCCUAACACAUGCAAGUCGAACGGUAACAGGAAGCAGCUUGCUGCUUCGCUGACGAGUGGCGGACGGGUGAGUAAUGUCUGGG
rnacentral:rRNA from 15 species